UUAAGUUAUUAAGGGCGCACGGUGGAUGCCUUGGCACUAGAAGCCGAUGAAGGACGUUACUAACGACGAUAUGCUUUGGGGAGCUGUAAGUAAGCUUUGAUCCAGAGAUUUCCGAAUGGGGAAACCCAGCAUGAGUUAUGUCAUGUUAUCGAUAUGUGAAUACAUAGCAUAUCAGAAGGCACACCCGGAGAACUGAAACAUCUUAGUACCCGGAGGAAGAGAAAGAAAAUUCGAUUCCCUUAGUAGCGGCGAGCGAAACGGGAAGAGCCCAAACCAACAAGUUUGCUUGUUGGGGUUGUAGGACACUCUAUACGGAGUUACAAAGGACGACAUUAGACGAAUCAUCUGGAAAGAUGAAUCAAAGAAGGUAAUAAUCCUGUAGUCGAAAAUGUUGUCUCUCUUGAGUGGAUCCUGAGUACGACGGAGCACGUGAAAUUCCGUUGGAAUCUGGGAGGACCAUCUCCUAAGGCUAAAUACUCUCUAGUGACCGAUAGUGAACCAGUACCGUGAGGGAAAGGUGAAAAGCACCCCGGAAGGGGAGUGAAAUAGAACCUGAAACCGUGUGCUUACAAGUAGUCAGAGCCCGUUAAUGGGUGAUGGCGUGCCUUUUGUAGAAUGAACCGGCGAGUUACGAUUUGAUGCAAGGUUAAGCAGUAAAUGUGGAGCCGUAGCGAAAGCGAGUCUGAAUAGGGCGUUUAGUAUUUGGUCGUAGACCCGAAACCAGGUGAUCUACCCUUGGUCAGGUUGAAGUUCAGGUAACACUGAAUGGAGGACCGAACCGACUUACGUUGAAAAGUGAGCGGAUGAACUGAGGGUAGCGGAGAAAUUCCAAUCGAACCUGGAGAUAGCUGGUUCUCUCCGAAAUAGCUUUAGGGCUAGCCUCAAGUGAUGAUUAUUGGAGGUAGAGCACUGUUUGGACGAGGGGCCCCUCUCGGGUUACCGAAUUCAGACAAACUCCGAAUGCCAAUUAAUUUAACUUGGGAGUCAGAACAUGGGUGAUAAGGUCCGUGUUCGAAAGGGAAACAGCCCAGACCACCAGCUAAGGUCCCAAAAUAUAUGUUAAGUGGAAAAGGAUGUGGCGUUGCCCAGACAACUAGGAUGUUGGCUUAGAAGCAGCCAUCAUUUAAAGAGUGCGUAAUAGCUCACUAGUCGAGUGACACUGCGCCGAAAAUGUACCGGGGCUAAACAUAUUACCGAAGCUGUGGAUUGUCCUUUGGACAAUGGUAGGAGAGCGUUCUAAGGGCGUUGAAGCAUGAUCGUAAGGACAUGUGGAGCGCUUAGAAGUGAGAAUGCCGGUGUGAGUAGCGAAAGACGGGUGAGAAUCCCGUCCACCGAUUGACUAAGGUUUCCAGAGGAAGGCUCGUCCGCUCUGGGUUAGUCGGGUCCUAAGCUGAGGCCGACAGGCGUAGGCGAUGGAUAACAGGUUGAUAUUCCUGUACCACCUAUAAUCGUUUUAAUCGAUGGGGGGGACGCAGUAGGAUAGGCGAAGCGUGCGAUUGGAUUGCACGUCUAAGCAGUAAGGCUGAGUAUUAGGCAAAUCCGGUACUCAUUAAGGCUGAGCUGUGAUGGGGAGAAGACAUUGUGUCUUCGAGUCGUUGAUUUCACACUGCCGAGAAAAGCCUCUAGAUAGAAAAUAGGUGCCCGUACCGCAAACCGACACAGGUAGUCAAGAUGAGAAUUCUAAGGUGAGCGAGCGAACUCUCGUUAAGGAACUCGGCAAAAUGACCCCGUAACUUCGGGAGAAGGGGUGCUCUUUAGGGUUAACGCCCAGAAGAGCCGCAGUGAAUAGGCCCAAGCGACUGUUUAUCAAAAACACAGGUCUCUGCUAAACCGUAAGGUGAUGUAUAGGGGCUGACGCCUGCCCGGUGCUGGAAGGUUAAGAGGAGUGGUUAGCUUCUGCGAAGCUACGAAUCGAAGCCCCAGUAAACGGCGGCCGUAACUAUAACGGUCCUAAGGUAGCGAAAUUCCUUGUCGGGUAAGUUCCGACCCGCACGAAAGGCGUAACGAUUUGGGCACUGUCUCAACGAGAGACUCGGUGAAAUCAUAGUACCUGUGAAGAUGCAGGUUACCCGCGACAGGACGGAAAGACCCCGUGGAGCUUUACUGUAGCCUGAUAUUGAAAUUCGGCACAGCUUGUACAGGAUAGGUAGGAGCCUUUGAAACGUGAGCGCUAGCUUACGUGGAGGCGCUGGUGGGAUACUACCCUAGCUGUGUUGGCUUUCUAACCCGCACCACUUAUCGUGGUGGGAGACAGUGUCAGGCGGGCAGUUUGACUGGGGCGGUCGCCUCCUAAAAGGUAACGGAGGCGCUCAAAGGUUCCCUCAGAAUGGUUGGAAAUCAUUCAUAGAGUGUAAAGGCAUAAGGGAGCUUGACUGCGAGACCUACAAGUCGAG
rnacentral:rRNA from 1 species